GACGAACGUUGGCGGCGUGCUUAAUACAUGCAAGUCAACUGAAGCAGUGGUAGCAAUAUCGCUGUGGAGGUGGCGCACGGGUGAGUAACACGUAGGUAAUCUGCCUUCAGGUCUGGCAUAACUCCGGGAAACCGGGGCUAAUAGCAGAUGAUGCAGCGGCUCGACAUCGAGACAGUUGUUAAAGCUAUGGCGCCUGAAGAUGAGCCUGCGUCUGAUUAGCUAGUUGGCGGGGUAACGGCCCACCAAGGCAACGAUCAGUAGCUGGUCUGAGAGGAUGAUCAGCCACACUGGAACUGAGACACGGGCCAGACUCCUACGGGAGGCAGCAGUAAGGAAUAUUGCUCAAUGGGAGAAAUCCUGAAGCAGCAACGCCGCGUGAGGGACGAAGGGCUUUUGCUUGUAAACCUCUGUAGUGAGAGAAAAAAAUCCCAAUCUUUGGGACAUGAUGGUAUCUCAAAAAUAAGCCCCGGCUAACUACGUG
rnacentral:rRNA from 1 species